CCCCCCCCCCCCUUCACUGGAGAAUUGCACUAAAACAGCUGAUCACAACGUUCACGCUCUGUGGUCACGAAGUACUCCACUAGCCCCCCCCCAAAAUUCACAACGGGUCGGGUCGUGGGUCUUAUAUCAACAGGUCGGGUCCAGAUUUGACUUGAAGAUAAUUGCAUGUAACGGUCGGUUCGCGGUAGCUACUAAGCUGCGAGGGUUCGGGUGGGUGCAGAUUUGUAAAACUGGACCCAUGCAGGACUCUGCCCCAGAGGCUUUUAAGUUGAAGCUUAACCCUUGUGAAUCCAUUUUUAAAAACGUUACUCUGAAAACACUAACGACAAAAAUGUCCGCAUCUAAAAAUACUGUAAUAAAGAUAUUAUAGGCUAUGUUAAUAUUUUUGUUCCACUUUCAAUUACUUACAUAUUUUAACCAAAUUCAGUGCUGAUCAUAAUUAUCAAAUGUUCAUUCAUUUUUAUUUUUGUCACUAGGGAUUUGAAAGUCACUAUUUUGAUUACACAUACACUUAUUAAGAACAUGUUUCCAAAAAAACUCAAAUCUUUACCAAAUGUCGUGCCAUAUUCUUAACACAAUCAGAAUGCUCACAAAAUUAAACAGUGGCAUGGAUAAUACAUUUCCUUAGGGAGGCAUAAGGGUUAAUGUGCUUAUUUAAUUAAAUACUGCAUCACAGUAGGAUGUUAACAGAAUUUACUGUAAUUGACCCAAGGAUGGCAGAUUGCUUAAAGUUGCAUUGUAGUCUUACGAUAAGAGAUACAGUAAUUAAAUGAGAUGUUUUACUUUUGUAAUGUUUGUAUUUAGGAAAAUAUGUCAGUGAAAGAGGGAGAGAUGGACAGCACAGUAUCAAUAAACAGUCUUACAGCGCACCUACGGGUGAGGAAGACGAGGACACAAGUCAGGAUGACAGGGAAAUAAGUAACGCACAGCCACAGUCUGAGAUAGACACAGAAGAGUCAGACCAACAAAGUACAGAGACAGCCACCGAAAUGACAACAACAAUGAACAGAAAGUGCAAAGCAGGGCCAAAAAAGUUCAAAAUUGCCAUGACAAGAAAACAAUGGAACAAAAUUAAACCUAAACAUGGCAAAAAAAAACUCCGCCCCCCCUGGACUGAUACAUUAUAUCAAGAAUUUUUGAAAAAUAAUCCAUGCUGCACACUUGCUUUCAAAUACCAGCAUGUUAAGACAAAUGAUAGCCGUAAAAAGAAUUCGCCAUUUUUCUGUGCCUCUGCAAAAUGCACAUUUAAUGGAUGCAACGCUGUCUACAGUUUCUCAAAAAAGAACAGGCCAAAAUCAACGGAUAAAAAAAAUAUUUUUAAAGUCAUGCGCAUUGGUGAAGUUAUACACCAUAAAAAUCAAAGGCGAUUUAGACCAGCAAAAUACACAAGAAGAGGAACAAUUUCCAAAGCCUUAACCAGUGGUGUCAGUAAUUAUUAUUACACUAUGUUAAGACAGACACCAGAGGAAAUAAUGGCUGGUAACAUAAGCAGAAGCCUCACCAAAGACGUGUUAAAGAAAAUAUCCUCUGAAGUGAAGAAAAGUGCAAGGCUCCACGAUGACAUGAUGCUUGAACUCAUGUUGACUCAAAAAAUAAUCAAAGAGAGCAGCAGUCAUGCAUCAUCAAAAGGCUAUCUUCAGCACCUACAAAUUGAUCCGUUUGCUGUACAUUUAUACACAGAUGCUGGAAUAAAGAUAUUGACUGAGCACUUGAAAAAGCCAACACCUACGACUCUCUACCUUGAUGCCACAGGCAGCGUGAUACAGAACAUUCCUGAUCAAAAUAAGCGGGUCUUGUAUUAUGCUUUGGUUUUGCCCGGAAUGGGUAAGGAUAAGCCUCCCUUGCCUGUCACAGAACUGAUCACCAACAGCCAUUCCAUUCCAUCUAUUUCCCAUUGGCUCAUGGAAUUUAAAAGAAAGUUGUCUUACAUAACAAAAAGAAAGAUAGCACAGGUUGAGACAGAUUAUAGUUGGGCUCUGAUAAACAGUGUGCUUCUGUCUUUUAACAGGGAAAAUAUGUCAGUGUACCUUGACAGAGCAUUUGAGAUAGUGUCUGGACAAACUGAACUGAUUCCUAACUUCACUGUGCUGCAUCUGUGCUCUGCUCAUAUCAUGAAGGCUGUGUCACAAGCAUUUGGGAAACAAACUGUAGACAGAGGCACACAGGAAUAUGCAACAUUCUGUUUUGCGUACAUCCUGAACUGCACAAGUAUGCAGGAAGCCCUUGAUGUUUUUUAUCAUAUGUGUGUGCUUUUUGAUGCAGAGGAGUACACUCAUUCGGUGAAACAGAGCUAAAUGUACCUCGACAAGUGUAUUUUGCAAACUCGGGACUUGAAACUGGAGGAAAGUGGACAUGUAAUGGGAGAGGAGGAAAGCAAAAUGGAAACAAAUGCUCAUAGCAUUAUUGGAAAGUCCCCUUUUACACAAGCUUUUCAAGUCAGGCGGGACCAAGCAGAGUGUGACAUUCUCUCUGACGAUGCUGUUCAGGUAAAAAACCACUACCUCUGUCCUGGUGUCAUUGAUGCACUGUUACAAAACUACAUGGGGAUCUUCCCAUUGUGGAGUGGUUUGUUGCUUUGGGGUCUGUCACGACAUAGAAAAGGUAGAGUCAUAAAACCAGGGAUACCAACUGCCAUGUUGAGCUCUGGUUUGGGUUGGUCAAACACUCCAUCCUUUUAAAAAAAAAAGUACCUGAGACCAGCUGAGUUUGUCUCCAAAAUGUAUGCCUCAAUACAAGGAAGAUAUAUAGAGCACAUUGAGCAACACAAUCUGCCAAUGCAUAUUCUGGACAAAAACUUUGGACAUCCUAGCAGGCCAGAUGAUGACCACGAGGAACAGUGGAACAAGCGGGAAAGUUCUGCUGGUCACACCAAGUCCAAGUCCAAGUACUUCAAUCCACCAAAAACACUACCCAACCCCAAGAGCCCACCUGCCACAAAGGUGAAGAAAAGAAAAGUGGACCAACAGGAAAAAGACGCACAGGGAAAUUUGACCUGGCUGUGGAAAAAAAAAGGACACAGAGGUGGUCGUGGCAGUGCUCCCCUCACAGAUGAAAGGACACAUCUUGCUUAUCCGCCACUGUGAGCUAUGCUCACUUCGACCCCACCAGUGGUUGACAGGGGAGGUAAUUGAAGGCGUGUUUCAUGUUGCUGCCGACAAAUUCGCCGUUCUGAACAAAAUGUUAAAUGCUAAAUCACUACACAGCAGGUGUCAUUUUGUUCGGGGACAGAACUCAGCUAACAUCUCACAGUUUACCGAAGGUCAACUUUGACAACUAUGAAGCUGUCCUGUCCUUUGUACUUGUCAACAACAACCACUGGAAGUUGCUGUACAUUCAUGCCAACACCAGCACCGUAUUCCUGGUGGAUCCAGCUCAAAGCAUCAAAGAGCUUGAUGACUCCGAACAUGCUGCCAAAAGAAUACAAGAGCACUUCAGGAUGAGGAGGACACGCCACAGCAUAACAGACUGUGGAUGUUAAGUGGAAGGGAGGCGUUAUGGGCCACCCACUUCAAACGGAUGGAUGUAGCUGUGGUGUCGUUGUUGUGAAGAUGGCAAAGGCAGUCAUGGAGUCCUUCCCUCUGAUCCCGAAUGUGAAUUUCGAGUGUUCGAAGAAAUACAUGAAACGGGAGAGGAGAGAACUGGCUCUCGAAAUCCUUGAGGCAUCAGUCUUUGAUGAGCACACUUAUUGUGCUAUGUGUGCUGCCUUAAGGCCUCCAGGAUCUCCCAUCACAGACUGGGUUCAGUGUGAUGACUGUGAACGAUGGUACCAUGCCCAGUGCCUGGCAAUGGACAGCAGAGACUUUAAAAAGGCAGAGACAGGAUAUUGGAAUUGUCCUUUGUGCAAGUAAUACUUGAAAUGUGCUCAAUGAUGAUGAUUAGUAAAACAUGUGUCCUGUG